CAUUAUAAUUUUUGUUAUAGAUUUUGUACAAAUCAGAUUCUUAUAUUUGAAUACUAUGAAACUUAAUGUGAAAAUGAAAUAAAAUAAACAGAAAAAAAAAAAGAUAUACAUACCAUAAAUAGAAAACUAAAAAGAUAGGAAAAUUAAGGAACUAUAAAAACCAAAAAAUAAUGAAAGGAAAAGAGACAUAUUUUAUAGAAACUAUAUAAAUAUGAAAGGGAAGAGCGAAUGUAUUUUGUGAAAACAAAUAAGAGUACUCAUGAUCCUUACAAACAAAAGUCAAAAAUUUUAUCAAUGUCCUAGGAUUUCAACUUAAUAUUCUUUGUUGGCGAUUAAAUUUUAGAAUAAACACGUUUGAAAAGAUAAGAAAAGAGGAUGGGAAGUAAUUUAUGAAAUUUUAGAAUGACCAGUCAUAUUUUGCGGUUGGAUAUCUCUGAACUUCUAAGGGCUAACGAAUGAAAACCCUAACGUCAAUCCUCCUCAAUCUUUUCUGCUCCUAUUUAUAAGUAAGGUGAAGAAGGAAGAAAGAACAACGGAGAAUCAGACGAGAAUCAGACGAGAAUCGAAGAUGGACGUAGAAGAAACGAUGGUGAUGUUGGACGAAGUCGAAGAAACUACAAGUAAUGUUGUUGCAGAAGAAGAAGAAGACAUAUAUAUACUUCAGCGUAGCAAGGUUGAACGGCGAUUGCCGCUGGUACUCAGUCAAAGACGACACAAAACCUCUCUCUCCCGUUUUCCCCGAUUUGCCGCCAAACUAUUCAUGCUCUUUUGGUUCUGCCCGUGUCGCCUUGCGCUCGGUCUUAUACUAAUCCCAAAUUAUGGCAUCCUGUGUGUAUCAAUCGGUACUUCGACCAAGGGUAUUGCAUCGACACUCUCUGUCCCUCCAAAGGGUGGACCGAAUGUCCCUGUAUGUCCAGGCCAAGGUACCACUACCAUCCCAAAGCCUUUACUCACGAUGGCAAGGUCUACGUGGCCGGGGGCCUUAUUUAUAGCCACUUGAUUGAUGAUAUACCACCUUGUGAAAAAGAUGGUUUAUGGUAUUUACCAAGUGAUAACUAUUUUGAAGUUCUUGAUCCCUCCUAGCCGGAGGAGAGCAGAUGCCGGCGACAAGUUUUCUCGACCGAAAUACCCCAAGAGGUUAGAUUGUUUUAUGUAGAUGCCGUACAAAUGUUACAGAAUUCAACUAGCGGAGCAUGGGAGCUGAAUGUGCUUCUCACUGGCUUACGACGAAGUGUGCUAUAUAAAUACAAUUUGGAUGAUGAAUCGUGGACACGCCUGGGUGGUGGACUUUGGUUUCUAUCGCCCCAGAAACGUCCUUUAUAAUGAUGAAAUCUUGUAUUGGUAUGAUAAAAUGUCGUCACUGGAUCACAUUGUUUGGAUGUCAAUAGUGCAGACGUCGGACCACGACCACUCUACUUCUCUGAACGAGAACGCUGCGGUGGCGAGGAGGAGGAGGAUUUGGAUUGUGAUGGUUUGGUUCCCCUUCCUUGCCAUUUUCGUUACUUAACCUAGUAUUUUGCCCCAUCUAUCCGGCAGCACAAAGUUCUGGGCGCUGUGUAUAGACCAUUACACAAUUAACCACAGAAUCACUGCCACCUGAUGGAGAGUAUCCACUCGUUGUUAGAUGCUUAAAGUUUUCCGCGUCUAAGAAGCCCAAUCCAGAAGGAGGGUUUGAUUUUCUUGCCUCUCUUCGUGUUUGGAGACCAAUUAUUCGACGCCAUUGCAAUUCCCUCAAUUCAACGACGAAGGGAAGCAAAUGGCAUUGAGGAGGGCACCCGGGACAGUAGUGACCACUCCCACGGGACGAAGAGGAUGAAAAUCGUGUAGGAAGGUUUUCAACAGGACGUUUUUUAGGAAAGGUUAAUUUCAAAUUAUAUUAAUUUUAGACACGGAUGGCCACGAUGAUGUAGGCACAUGGACGGCUGUACGGUGUGACGACAACAAUGAUGAUGAGAUUGCUUCAGAUGAUGAUAAAUUGUGUCCUUCAAUUUUUUUUUAUUUUUUUAUUUUUAUUUUUUAUUUUUUGUAGACAAUGCUGGUCGUGCAAGCCAACUUGAGCUAAAGGGAGGUUUUGUAUUUGAA